GAUGAACGCUAGCGGCAGGCCUAACACAUGCAAGUCGAGGGGCAGCACAGAAACAGCAAUGUUUUGGUGGCGACCGGUGGACGGGUGCGUAACGCGUAUGCAACCUACCUUUAACAGGGGGAUAACGGAGAGAAAUUUCCACUAAUACCCCAUAACAUCGAUCAAGGCAUCUUGAUUGGUUGAAAACUCCGGUGGUUAAAGAUGGGCAUGCGUUGUAUUAGGUAGUUGGUGAGGUAAUGGCUCACCAAGCCUACGAUACAUAGGGGGACUGAGAGGUUAGCCCCCCACACUGGUACUGAGACACGGACCAGACUCCUACGGGAGGCAGCAGUGAGGAAUAUUGGUCAAUGGGGGCAACCCUGAACCAGCCAUGCCGCGUGCAGGAAGACGGCUCUAUGAGUUGUAAACUGCUUUUAAACAGGGAUAAAGCACAGUAUGUAUACUGUGUUGAAGGUACUGUAAGAAUAAGGAUCGGCUAACUCCGUGCCAGCAGCCGCCGCGG
rnacentral:rRNA from 1 species